CGUGCCUAAUACAUGCAAGUCGAGCGGACAUUUGAGAGCUUGCUCUCAAAUGUUAGCGGCGGACGGGUGAGUAACACGUGGGUAACCUGCCUGUAAGAUUGUGAUAACUCCGGGAAACCGGAGCUAAUACCGAAUAACAUUUUGAACCGCAUGGUUUAAAAUUGAAAGAUGGUUUCGGCUAUCACUUACAGAUGGACCCGCGGCGCAUUAGCUAGUUGGUGAGGUAAUGGCUCACCAAGGCGACGAUGCGUAGCCGACCUGAGAGGGUGAUCGGCCACACUGGGACUGAGACACGGCCCAGACUCCUACGGGAGGCAGCAGUAGGGAAUCUUCCGCAAUGGACGAAAGUCUGACGGAGCAACGCCGCGUGAACGAUGAAGGCCUUCGGGUCGUAAAGUUCUGUUGUUAGGGAAGAACAAGUACCAGAGUAACUGCUGGUACCUUGACGGUACCUAACCAGAAAGCCACGGCUAACUACGUGCCAGCAGCCGCGGUAAUACGUAGGUGGCAAGCGUUGUCCGGAAUUAUUGGGCGUAAAGCGCGCGCAGGCGGUUUUUUAAGUCUGAUGUGAAAGCCCACGGCUCAACCGUGGAGGGUCAUUGGAAACUGGAGAACUUGAGUGCAGAAGAGGAGAGCGGAAUUCCACGUGUAGCGGUGAAAUGCGUAGAGAUGUGGAGGAACACC
rnacentral:rRNA from 2 species